UUCCGGAGCUAACGCGUUAAGUCGACCGCCUGGGGAGUACGGCCGCAAGGUUAAAACUCAAAUGAAUUGACGGGGGCCCGCACAAGCGGUGGAGCAUGUGGUUUAAUUCGAUGCAACGCGAAGAACCUUACCUACUCUUGACAUCCAGAGAACUUAGCAGAGAUGCUUUGGUGCCUUCGGGAACUCUGAGACAGGUGCUGCAUGGCUGUCGUCAGCUCGUGUUGUGAAAUGUUGGGUUAAGUCCCGCAACGAGCGCAACCCUUAUCCUUUGUUGCCAGCGGUUCGGCCGGGAACUCAAAGGAGACUGCCAGUGAUAAACUGGAGGAAGGUGGGGAUGACGUCAAGUCAUCAUGGCCCUUACGAGUAGGGCUACACACGUGCUACAAUGGCGCAUACAAAGAGAAGCGACCUCGCGAGAGCAAGCGGACCUCAUAAAGUGCGUCGUAGUCCGGAUUGGAGUCUGCAACUCGACUCCAUGAAGUCGGAAUCGCUAGUAAUCGUAGAUCAGAAUGCUACGGUGAAUACGUUCCCGGGCCUUGUACACACCGCCCGUCACACCAUGGGAGUGGGUUGCAAAAGAAGUAGGUAGCUUAACCUUCGGGAGGGCGCUUACCACUUUGUGAUUCAUGACUGGGGUGAAG
rnacentral:rRNA from 1 species